rnacentral:lncRNA from 1 species
AUAAACUCAAGCCAAGAUUCAUAUCCAUUUUGAAUAAACAAAAUUAGUCAUGUCAUAUUAAACUGAAAAUAUAAAGAUGAGAUGCAAUCUUGUCUCUUGACAUAAAAAAAAAAUUUAACAAUAAAGAUAAGGGUAAGAAAGAGUAGCCGAGGGGGGCUAUCCAUGACCAUUUCACAAUAUGAAAAGUAAACAGUUGAAUGCAAGGGGCUAUCUGCGUCUGCUCCUUGCGGCUUCUCAUGGUGGCUUUCCUCCUUGUCUUUAUGUUAAAAUCAUCUAAACAUAUUCAAGUCAUCCUCUUAACUGCUCUCAUUUCAGCAAGUGAUUACCUUAUUUGUGGAAUUCGAGUGUUAACAAGCCAUGAGAAAGGCAAGAACACUCAAAGGAAUUUUUCUCUUUGAAAAUUGAU